CCUACGGGAGGCAGCAGUGAGGAAUAUUGGUCAAUGGGCGCGAGCCUGAACCAGCCAAGUCGCGUGAGGGAAGACGGUCCUAUGGAUUGUAAACCUCUUUUGUCGGGGAGCAAAAGACGCCACGCGUGGCGUUCCGAGAGUACCCGAAGAAAAAGCAUCGGCAAACUCCGUGCCAGCAGCCGCGGUAAUACGGAGGAUGCGAGCGUUAUCCGGAUUUGUUGGGUUUAAAGGGUGCGCAGGCGGAAGAUCAAGUCAGCGGGAAAAUUGAGAGGCUAAACCUCUUCGAGCAGUUGAAACUGGUUUGCUUGAGUACUGGAGAGGUAGGCGGAAUUCCAGGUGUAGCGGUGAAAUGCGUAGAUAUUAGGAGGAACACCAGUGGCGAAGGCGGUCUCCUGGACAGCAACUGACGCUGAGGCGCGAAAGCGUGGGGAGCAAACAGGAUUAGAUACCCGUGUAGUC
rnacentral:rRNA from 1 species